GCCCAGAUGGCGAAAUAGGUAGACGCAAGGGACUUAAAAUCCCUCGGUAGAAAUACCGUGCCGGUUCGAUUCCGGCUCUGGGCACCA
rnacentral:tRNA from 1 species